rnacentral:lncRNA from 1 species
ACACCACUCACCUCCCUAGAUAAUUCGCAGUUGUCAGUUAGAGCCUUAUCACCCAAAAGGCCUCAUGAAGCAAGCUUUGAGGCAAAAGAAAAAAUAGUUCUUGUCUUCCACACAGCAUUAAAAAAUAAAUAAGAACUAUUAGGAAUGGUUCACUGGGGCUUCCUUUUCAGUAUAUGUUUCAGUUGAUAAUCUGGCCAUUCCCAAAUAUUUACUAUUACAUACAUAAGAGAAAUGGAGAAUAAAUAUCUCAUUUAGGAUUUCAGGUUUUAGUGUUAGCUCUUAGUGGUAGGAACUGUGUUCUCCAUGAUGUUUUUUCAAGCAGUGUUUCUCUAACAGCUGACAACCUAUGACCCACACUCAAGCCUCCCAGAUUUGUGACUGUACUAAGAAGACAGAGUUAAGGAAUGGUGAAAUGACACGGACCAUGUAUCCUUGGAAAACAAUGUUCUUUUUUAAAGGUUUUAAAUGCUAACAAUCAUCAACUGAAACAUUGCCAGUUACUGCCUUGUCUUUGCUGUAUUUUGCAUACAGCUAUGAAGCUGGUAGCUGUUCUAUAUUGUUUUACCUAAAUGUCAUGCAAAGAAAGAUGCCCACUAAUGAAUGAAAAAUAAUUCCCUAACCUAUUAAUGGAAAUCUUGAUAGUUAAUUUCACAGAACAACCAAUUAAAACCACUUUGAAAUUGCUGAUCUAAAUUAUCUCCAUCAGUAAGAAUUUUUUCUUCAAGAUGACCGGACAGCAACUGUGGGAGGAGACAGUUCCAUCUAGGGUAAAAAUACACAGGAUGAACAAAUGCUUGGUUAGAAGUUAUAACAAAUGAUUAGUUAAAAAAAAAAAAAAACAAAACAAAACAAAUAGCAAGAAUAGCUCACAUACAUGCUAAAAAUGAAUUAAAAGUAAUAUUUUUCAAUAUUCUGUGGGAAGUUUCAGAUUUGUGGUACUUCAUGUUAAUGGAAUUUGUGGAAGAAGUGUUAAGUAUAAUAACAUAUUAUCAAACAGAUUUUAGAGCAAGAAGUUCUAGAACUGUGUAGUGAGAAAUUUGUAAAUCUUGCAUAAUCAAACCUCUC